UACAGAGGGUGCAAGCGUUAAUCGGAUUUACUGGGCGUAAAGCGUGCGUAGGCGGUUCAGUAUGUCGGUCGUGAAAUCCCCGGGCUUAACCUGGGAACUGCGGCCGAAACUGCUGGGCUCGAGUGUGGUAGAGGAAGGUGGAAUUCCAGGUGUAGCGGUGAAAUGCGUAGAUAUCUGGAGGAACACCGGUGGCGAAGGCGGCAUCCUGGACCGGCAUUGACGCUGAGGAGCGAAAGCCAGGGGAGCAAACGGG
rnacentral:rRNA from 1 species